rnacentral:rRNA from 1 species
AGUGAACGCUGGCGGUAGGCCUAACACAUGCAAGUCGAACGGCAGCACAGUAAGAGCUUGCUCUUACGGGUGGCGAGUGGCGGACGGGUGAGGAAUACAUCGGAAUCUACUUUUUCGUGGGGGAUAACGUAGGGAAACUUACGCUAAUACCGCAUACGACCUACGGGUGAAAGCAGGGGAUCUUCGGACCUUGCGCGAUUGAAUGAGCCGAUGUCGGAUUAGCUAGUUGGCGGGGUAAAAGCCCACCAAGGCGACGAUCCGUAGCUGGUCUGAGAGGAUGAUCAGCCACACGGGAACUGAGACACGGUCCAGACUCCUACGGGAGGCAGCAGUGGGGAAUAUUGGACAAUGGGCGCAAGCCUGAUCCAGCCAUACCGCGUGGGUGAAGAAGGCCUUCGGGUUGUAAAGCCCUUUUGUUGGGAAAGAAAAGCAGCAGGUUAAUACCCCGCUGUUCUGACGGUUCCCAAAGAAUAAGCACCGGCUAACUUCGUG